GACGUAGGGCGCGAGCGUUGUCCGGAUUUAUUGGGCGUAAAGAGCUCGUAGGCGGCUUGUUGCGUCGACCGUGAAAACUGUGGCUUAACUACAGGCUUGCGGUCGAUACGGGCGGGCUGGAGUUCGGUAGGGGAGACUGGAAUUCCUGGUGUAGCGGUGAAAUGCGCAGAUAUCAGGAGGAACACCGGUGGCGAAGGCGGGUCUCUGGGCCGAUACUGACGCUGAGGAGCGAAAGCGUGGGGAGC
rnacentral:rRNA from 1 species